UACGGAGGGGCUAGCGUUGUUCGGAAUUACUGGGCGUAAAGCGCACGUAGGCGGACUCUUAAGUCAGGGGUGAAAUCCUGGAGCUCAACUCCAGAACUGCCUUUGAUACUGGCGAUCUUGAGUCCGGGAGAGGUGAGUGGAACUGCGAGUGUAGAGGUGAAAUUCGUAGAUAUUCGCAAGAACACCAGUGGCGAAGGCGGCUCACUGGCCCGGUACUGACGCUGAGGUGCGAAAGCGUGGGAGCAAACA
rnacentral:rRNA from 1 species